rnacentral:rRNA from 1 species
GCGUGAGUGAAGAAGGUUUUCGGAUCGUAAAACUCUGUUGUAAGGGAAGAACACGUACGAGAGUAACUGCUCGUACCUUGACGGUACCUUAUUAGAAAGCCACGGCUAACUACGUGCCAGCAGCCGCGGUAAUACGUAGGUGGCAAGCGUUGUCCGGAAUUAUUGGGCGUAAAGCGCGCGCAGGCGGUUCUUUAAGUCUGAUGUGAAAGCCCACGGCUCAACCGUGGAGGGUCAUUGGAAACUGGAGAACUUGAGUACAGAAGAGGAAAGCGGAAUUCCACGUGUAGCGGUGAAAUGCGUAGAGAUGUGGAGGAACACCAGUGGCGAAGGCGGCUUUCUGGUCUGUAACUGACGCUGAGGCGCGAAAGCGUGGGGAGCAAACAGGAUUAGAUACCCUGGUAGUCCACGCCGUAAACGAUGAGUGCUAAGUGUUAGGGGGUUUCCGCCCCUUAGUGCUGCAGCUAACGCAUUAAGCACUCCGCCUGGGGAGUACGGCCGCAAGGCUG